rnacentral:rRNA from 1 species
UGGGGAAUUUUGGACAAUGGGCGAAAGUCUGAUCCAGCAAUGCCGCGUGUGUGAAGAAGGCCUUCGGGUUGUAAAGCACUUUUGUCCGGAAAGAAAAUCCUUGGCUCUAAUACAGUCGGGGGAUGACGGUACCGGAAGAAUAAGCACCGGCUAACUACGUGCCAGCAGCCGCGGUAAUACGUAGGGUGCAAGCGUUAAUCGGAAUUACUGGGCGUAAAGCGUGCGCAGGCGGUUUGCUAAGACCGAUGUGAAAUCCCCGGGCUCAACCUGGGAACUGCAUUGGUGACUGGCAGGCUAGAGUAUGGCAGAGGGGGGUAGAAUUCCACGUGUAGCAGUGAAAUGCGUAGAGAUGUGGAGGAAUACCGAUGGCGAAGGCAGCCCCCUGGG